rnacentral:rRNA from 1 species
AUGGCGAAUGACCAGGAAGAGCUCACAUUGACAAUCCGUACUUUGUGUCUGGAAUUGUAUUUCAAAGUUGUGUUGCUAAUGAAAGUGUGUGUGCAAGCCAUUUGGGAAAAUGUGGCAACGAAGGUGAAACUCUUGUGUGUCAUGUGCAAGCUUUCAUGCAAGGUAUGCUCCCAAGAAUCGUGUUCCUUGGAAUUGGAGUGCAAAGCAGGUGGUAAAUUUCAUGUGAAGCUAAAUAUAUGUUUGAGACUGAUAGUGUACAAGUACCAUGAGGGAAAUGUGAAAAGGACUUUGAAAAGAAAGUUACAAGUACCUGAAAUUGCUGGAAUGAAAGCAAAUGACAUGAUGCUGUUUAGCAAGAUUGCAGUUUGCAGACAUCAAGCAGGGUGCAUGUCAUGUGCAUUUCUGGGCUUGUGUGGGUAUACAGUGUAUCUUGCUUUGCAUGCCAUGACGAAGCUGCAUGUCAACACCAAACAUGCAUAAGUGAAUUGCAUAUUGUAUGUUGUGAAUAUGUCCUUACAUGGUAUGCAGCUUGGUUGUUGUCGCUGGGUGCUGUGCCCCUUGUCUCCUGUGGCAAGGGUGCCAACCUGGCCCAUUGCAUGAAUGUGAUGCUUCAUUUGACCCGUCUUGAAACACGGACCAAGGAGUCUAAUACAUGUGCAAAUCUGUGGGUCAUCUUUUGGGGUGCAAUGAAAAUGACAAUUGGGAUGUGUGCACUGAUAGCCACCAAUCAACUGUGA